rnacentral:lncRNA from 1 species
UUCAUCGUCAUCUUCAAUGUCAACGAUUCCACCGAGGGGAUGAACAAGAAGUGGUGGGUCAAUGUCCACAGUUGUGUGGGUAGACAUAAUAGUAACAACCUCUUCUUGAAACGGUUGAUCUAAUGUUGAGUUAGAUGCGGCAGUGGAGACUUCAACCUUUGAUCUUGCGUUGACUUUGCAUGCUGACCACCAAUUUUUCUUUGAUUGUUUCGUACUGGGAUAGGGGCAGUAAAACACUUGAACUGCCUGACUCGCUAAAACAAACGGAUCAUACUUCUGAUAUUUUCUUGUGUGGUUCACUGAAACCAACUUGAAGUCUGUAUCAAUAGAAGUUUCCCGAGCAGACAAGUCAAACCAUUCACAUUUGAACAAGACUGUCUUCUUAAUUGGAUGCCCCCAUACUCCAGCACACACACCUCUUGUAGACGCCCAUAAAAGUCUUGCACAUCUCUACCAUAGACCGAGCCUUUUAUGCAAACGCCACUGUUCACAGUUGCACGCUCUCUAUCAAGAUCAGUUGUGUGAAAUCUAUAGCCAUUCACAAAAUACCCGGAGUAUGUUUCAAUCUCAGUUAAAG